rnacentral:rRNA from 1 species
CGAAGUUANCCGGGGCUUAUUCUGCGGGUACCGUCAUUAUCGUCCCCGCCAAAAGAGUUUUACAACCCUAAGGCCUUCGUCACUCACGCGGCAUGGCUGGAUCAGGCUUUCGCCCAUUGUCCAAUAUUCCCCA